rnacentral:sRNA from 1 species
UGUAGCCAGUUGUGUACAUUACAUGGCAGAAUAAAGCAACGGAAAAUACCGUCUUUGCAUAUUUUAUCGAUUUUGUGGAAAUAUACGGUCGGCAUUUUAUGUUUCGAUAUGUCUUAAAGCGAAUAAAAAAUGCCCUUCUGAUUGUCUUGGAUAUUAAAGGAGCUCGAGUGUUUUUGCCCGGUUGCCUGAGUUGAAACCUGAUAAAUGCAUCCCUUCACCAUGGUAACAUCGAACACAACGCUUUUAUUAAUAUGUCCUUUCAUCGAUGAACAAGCCUUUAAGAUGUCACAUUUAUCUGGUUUUUGUUCUUUUAUUCUUUUUUUAUGGCUUUUUUGUUUAAAAAACAUUUUUAGACAGUCUGGUCAAAGCAAUGCGAACAAUAAAACAAAAUGACCAAAGCAAUUUCGAUAAAACUUUUGCCAUAAAAUAUUAAA